UACGGGGGAGCAAGCGUUGUUCGGAUUUACUGGGCGUAAAGGGCGCGUAGGCGGCGCAACAAGUCACUUGUGAAAUCUCCGGGCUUAACCCGGAGCGGUCAAGUGAUACUGUCGUGCUAGAGUGGCGGAAGGGCUACUGGAAUUCUCGGUGUAGCGGUGAAAUGCGGUGAGAUAGUCGGGAGGAACGACCGGUGGCGAAGGCGGCGACCUGGUCCAUUACUGACGCUGAGCGCGACAGCGGUGGGGAGC
rnacentral:rRNA from 1 species